rnacentral:rRNA from 1 species
GACGAACGCUGGCGGUGUGCUUAACACAUGCAAGUCGAACGGCAAGGCCCUGCUAUUGUGGUGUUCUCGAGUGGCGAACGGGUGCGUGACACGUGAGUAACCUGCUCUUGACUUUGGGAUAACUUCAGGAAACUGGGGCUACUAACGGAUAGCAGCUCAUGCUGCGUGGAGGGGGUUGGAACGUCUCGGCGGUUGGGGAUGGAUUGGCGGCUUAUCAGCUUGUUGGUGGGGUAGUGGCUUACCAAGGCAUUGACUGAUCGCCGGCCUGAGAGGGUGACCGGGCACCUUGCGCCUGAGGUACGGACCAGAGUGCUACGUUAGGCAGUGGUGGGGAACCUUGCCCAACGAUCGCAAGCGUGAUGCGGAAGCGUCGCGGUCGGAAUGACCGCUUUUUGGUAGUAAACCGCUUUAGCCUGUGACGAAGCGGGAGUGACGGUAAUGAGUAAAGAAGCACCGGCUAACUACGUG